rnacentral:rRNA from 1 species
UAAUUGAAGAGUUUGAUCAUGGCUCAGAUUGAACGCUGGCGGCAGGCCUAACACAUGCAAGUCGAGCGGUAGCACAGGAGAGCUUGCUCUCUGGGUGACGAGCGGCGGACGGGUGAGUAAUGUCUGGGAAACUGCCUGAUGGAGGGGGAUAACUACUGGAAACGGUAGCUAAUACCGCAUAACGUCUUCGGACCAAAGUGGGGGACCUUCGGGCCUCACGCCAUCAGAUGUGCCCAGAUGGGAUUAGCUAGUAGGUGGGGUAAUGGCUCACCUAGGCGACGAUCCCUAGCUGGUCUGAGAGGAUGACCAGCCACACUGGAACUGAGACACGGUCCAGACUCCUACGGGAGGCAGCAGUGGGGAAUAUUGCACAAUGGGCGCAAGCCUGAUGCAGCCAUGCCGCGUGUGUGAAGAAGGCCUUCGGGUUGUAAAGCACUUUCAGCGAGGAGGAAGGGUAGUGUGUUAAUAGCACAUUGCAUUGACGUUACUCGCAGAAGAAGCACCGGCUAACUCCGUGCCAGCAGCCGCGGUAAUACGGAGGGUGCAAGCGUUAAUCGGAAUUACUGGGCGUAAAGCGCACGCAGGCGGUUUGUUAAGUCAGAUGUGAAAUCCCCGCGCUUAACGUGGGAACUGCAUUUGAAACUGGCAAGCUAGAGUCUUGUAGAGGGGGGUAGAAUUCCAGGUGUAGCGGUGAAAUGCGUAGAGAUCUGGAGGAAUACCGGUGGCGAAGGCGGCCCCCUGGACAAAGACUGACGCUCAGGUGCGAAAGCGUGGGGAGCAAACAGGAUUAGAUACCCUGGUAGUCCACGCUGUAAACGAUGUCGACUUGGAGGUUGUGCCCUUGAGGCGUGGCUUCCGGAGCUAACGCGUUAAGUCGACCGCCUGGGGAGUACGGCCGCAAGGUUAAAACUCAAAUGAAUUGACGGGGGCCCGCACAAGCGGUGGAGCAUGUGGUUUAAUUCGAUGCAACGCGAAGAACCUUACCUACUCUUGACAUCCAGAGAAUUCGCUAGAGAUAGCUUAGUGCCUUCGGGAACUCUGAGACAGGUGCUGCAUGGCUGUCGUCAGCUCGUGUUGUGAAAUGUUGGGUUAAGUCCCGCAACGAGCGCAACCCUUAUCCUUUGUUGCCAGCGCGUAAUGGCGGGAACUCAAAGGAGACUGCCGGUGAUAAACCGGAGGAAGGUGGGGAUGACGUCAAGUCAUCAUGGCCCUUACGAGUAGGGCUACACACGUGCUACAAUGGCGUAUACAAAGAGAAGCGAACUCGCGAGAGCCAGCGGACCUCAUAAAGUACGUCGUAGUCCGGAUCGGAGUCUGCAACUCGACUCCGUGAAGUCGGAAUCGCUAGUAAUCGUAGAUCAGAAUGCUACGGUGAAUACGUUCCCGGGCCUUGUACACACCGCCCGUCACACCAUGGGAGUGGGUUGCAAAAGAAGUAGGUAGCUUAACCUUCGGGAGGGCGCUUACCACUUUGUGAUUCAUGACUGGGGUGAAGUCGUAACAAGGUAACCGUAGGGGAACCUGCGGUUGGAUCACCUCCUUA